rnacentral:tRNA from 1 species
GAAAAUGAAAAUAUUAGACUUCUAAUCUAAUUAAUUGCAAAAAUGUAACAUUCUCU